rnacentral:lncRNA from 1 species
GCCGCAGCGGCCCGGGAAGCGGCCGCUGCACGGGCCUCUCCGGGUGGCGCAGGGACAGCGGCUUCUGGGAACGCGGCGGAUGGUCCGGGUGUCUCCGACUCCGCUGGGGCUCUGAGGACCACCCCGCCACCUUCCCAGGGAGUCUGGAAAGGUCACCCCCAGAGUCACAAGAGGACUUGGAGCGCAGUUUGGGGGCCGGGUUUCCCAUUUCAAAUCAUGGAGGUCAUCCUUAGGAGUUCAAGGAAGCGAACCUCCGAGUGAUCUCCCCUCAGAGCCCUGAUAUCCAGGCCUGGGGGUCACUGUGCACGGACCCCCAAAUAGGCAUUAGAGGAAGGUGGGGGCCGUCAAGCUAAGACUACAGCUACAAUCCAGACCUCACCCAAGCAGGCGGGGCACCCUGGGCAGAAGCAGCCCCGGGGAUCUGGAGACAGGGUCUGGCUCUGUUGCCCAGGAUGAAGUACAGUGGCGUGAUCUCGGCUCACUGCAACCUCUGCCUCCCGGGUUCAAGAGAUUCUCCUGCCACAACCUCCGGAGCAGCUGGGAGUACAGGCGCGAACCAUCAUGCCUGGCUACUUUUAAAAUUUUUUAGUAGAGACAGGGUUUCACCAUGUUGGUCAGGCUCGUCUGGAACGCCUGCCCUCGGAUGAUCCGUCCGCAUCAGCCUCCCAAAUGCUGGGAUUACAGAUGAAGAAACUAAGGAUGGGAGGGCCACUCCCUUGCCCACAGUCAUGUAGCUGGCCUAGGAUGGAUGUGGAAUCCUGCCCCAGCAGUGGUGGUAUUAUUAUACCCAUGUUACAGAUACAGAAGACUGAGGCUCAGCAUGGGUACCUUGCCAUGAUCACACAGCUAGAGGGUAAGAGGGGCUGGCUCUGCCUCCUAUGCCACUCCUGAUCCACUCUCCAAUCCCUCCUCCAGUCCCCUGCCCCAAGCCAUCAGUUAGGAUGAUUCUUAUAGCCAGAGGUGUGACACGCCAAGGUGUCUUUUUACCCCAUACACUCACUCUGGAACCAGGACAAGGUUUCAGUGAGGUGGACCUGCGUUCUAUCUGGACCAGGGACUUUGCCUCCAAGCUCAUUUCCUCAUCUGUAAAACAGGGAUCCAACAAACCAUCAGCCUGAAUGGGCUGUGGUGGGGUCCUGAGGGGGUUAGGACUUUGCAUCUAAAUGUGGAGACCCCAGGGGUCAGGCCUGGCGUCUGCCUCCCUGCUGGGUAGCCUCAGGCGUGUACAUCUUUGUCUCCACCUCAUGGAGUCACUGUGAGAAUAAAAUGAACAUCAGAUCUUG